UACGUAGGUGGCAAGCGUUAUCCGGAUUUAUUGGGCGUAAAGGGAGCGUAGACGGCAUUGCAAGUCCGGAGUGAAAGCCCACGGCCCAACCGUGGGACUGCUCUGGAAACUGUAGAGCUGGAGUGCGGGAGGGGCAGGCGGAAUUCCUAGUGUAGCGGUGAAAUGCGUAGAUAUUAGGAGGAACACCGGCGGCGAAGGCGGCCUGCUGGACCGUAACUGACGUUGAGGCUCGAAAGCGUGGGGAGCAAACAGG
rnacentral:rRNA from 1 species